ACACAUGCAAGUCGAACGAUGAACUCUCACUUGUGGGGGGGAUUAGUGGCGAACGGGUGAGUAACACGUGAGUAACCUGCCCUUGACUCUGGGAUAAGCCUGGGAAACUGGGUCUAAUACUGGAUACGACCAUUCCACGCAUGUGGUGGUGGUGGAAAGCUUUUGUGGUUUUGGAUGGACUCGCGGCCUAUCAGCUUGUUGGUGGGGUAAUGGCCUACCAAGGCGACGACGGGUAGCCGGCCUGAGAGGGUGGACGGCCACACUGGGACUGAGACACGGCCCAGACUCCUACGGGAGGCAGCAGUGGGGAAUAUUGCACAAUGGGCGCAAGCCUGAUGCAGCGACGCCGCGUGAGGGAUGAAGGCCUUCGGGUUGUAAACCUCUUUCAGUAGGGAAGAAGCGUAAGUGACGGUACCUGCAGAAGAAGCGCCGGCUAACUACGUGCCAGCAGCCGCGGUAAUACGUAGGGCGCAAGCGUUAUCCGGAAUUAUUGGGCGUAAAGAGCUCGUAGGCGGUUUGUCGCGUCUGCCGUGAAAGUCCGGGGCUUAACUCCGGAUCUGCGGUGGGUACGGGCAGACUUGAGUGAUGUAGGGGAGACUGGAAUUCCUGGUGUAGCGGUGAAAUGCGCAGAUAUCAGGAGGAACACCGAUGGCGAA
rnacentral:rRNA from 1 species